rnacentral:tRNA from 1 species
UGGGAGAGCGCAACGCUGGCAGCGUUGAGGUCAGGGGUUCGACCCCCCUACACUCCACCA